AAAACUGACAAAUAUUUAAAUCGAAAAAUCUAAAAAAAACUACAAACAAAUAUUUAAAUCUCAAAAGCAAACAAAACCGACAAACAAUUAAAUGUCAAAAUCAAACAAAACCAGCCAAUAUUUAAAUCUUGUAACUGAACAAAACCAACCAAUAUUUAAAUCUCGUAAUCGGAAAAAAAACGACAAAUAUUUAAAUC